GCCAGUGUAUCAUAGUGGUUUAAGCACUGGACUAGGAUUCUGGUAGACCAGGGUUCAAAUCCCAGCUCAGCCA